UACAGAGGUCUCAAGCGUUAGGCGGAAUCACUGGGCUUAAAGCGUGUGUAGGUGGGUUUGUAAGUACCUUGUGAAAUCCCAUGGCUCAACCAUGGAACUGCUUGGUAUACUGCGAAUCUUGAGCUGUCUAGAGGUUACUGGAACAAACGGUGGAGCGGUGAAAUGCGUAGAUAUCGUUUGGAACGCCAAUGGUGAAAGCAGGUAACUGGGGACACGCUGACACUGAGACACGAAAGCCAGGGG
rnacentral:rRNA from 1 species